rnacentral:piRNA from 1 species
UAAGAAUUCCUCUUAUGAAAGUGUCGUCU